rnacentral:rRNA from 2 species
UGUUUCGGCUAGGGGGCCAUCCCGGCUUACCAACCCGAUGCAAACUGCGAAUACCGGAGAAUGUUAUCACGGGAGACACACGGCGGGUGCUAACGUCCGUCGUGAAGAGGGAAACAACCCAGACCGCCAGCUAAGGUCCCAAAGUCAUGGUUAAGUGGGAAACGAUGUGGGAAGGCCCAGACAGCCAGGAUGUUGGCUUAGAAGCAGCCAUCAUUUAAAGAAAGCGUAAUAGCUCACUGGUCGAGUCGGCCUGCGCGGAAGAUGUAACGGGGCUAAACCAUGCACCGAAGCUGCGGCAGCGAACGUAUCACUUAAAGCGAUUCAGCGGGUUACGAUUGACGGAGCGAAGCGACGUCAAAGCGUAUACAAAGUCGAGUCGGUUUAAGGAUACGUUCGUUGGGUAGGGGAGCGUUCUGUAAGCCUGUGAAGGUGGCCUGUGAGGG